GACGAACGCUGGCGGCGUGCUUAACACAUGCAAGUCGAACGGUGAAGCGAGAGCUUGCACUCGUGGAGCAGUGGCGAACGGGGGAGGAACACGUGAGUAACCUGCCCAUCACUCUGGGAGAAGCACUGGAAACGGUGUCUAAGACUGGAUACGACCAACCCUUGCAGGGGGAGUUGGUGGAAAGAUUUAUCGGUGAUGGAUGGACACGCGGCCUAGCAGCUUGUAGGCGGGGUAAUGGACCACCAAGGCGACGACGGGUAGCAGGCCUGAGAGGGUGACCGGCCACACUGGGCCUGCGACACGGCCCAGACUCCUACGGGAGGCAGCAGUGGGGAAUAUUGCACAAUGGGCGAAAGCCUGAUGCAGCGACGCCGCGUGAGGGAUGACGGCCUUCGGGUUGUAAACCUCUUUCAGCAGGGAAGAAGCGAAAGUGACGGUACCUGCAGAAGAAGCACCGGCUAACUACGUG
rnacentral:rRNA from 1 species